UGUCACUCUGCAUUUGAAUAGAUAACACUUCCCUAUCUUCCCUCAAAGUGGAAAGUGAAGCUGUAAUACAGGGCCUAUAAUUAGAAAAAUCCAUUAGAUAAAUGUAUUACAACAAUUUAUUUAUAAAUUGGGGGAUAACAAUAGCUACCAUAUUCUGAGCAUCUACCUUAUCCAAAAUCAUCUUCCCUAUCCUCCAGAGAUGGCAUUCUCCACACCCCUUUCCUGGGCUAUAAUAUUGAAAUGACCUCACUGAGUGUCUAUGAAAAAAAACUAUAGACAGAAUAAGUCUGGAGAAGUGUUGCUUGUGGUGCAGAUCUGGAGAAGGGAAGAGUAGCCACUGAGGUGAAGGCAUGAACAUCUUUCCAUUUCUUUCUCCAUAUCUCCACAGGAUAAAAGCCUUAUUUCACUGAGCAAAGGGCACUAAACCCUCUCACCCUCAUGGUACAGCUGAGAUAUCUUGAAGUAGGGGAAAGGAAUAGCAAAACACUCUGGGAAAGGGCAGGAAUACAUCCAAAACUCAGACCAUUAAAGAUACCCUCCUACUGGGUAAGUGGAAGGAUCACAGAGAAGGCCCCGCUUCUAAGGCCCAGAGAUGGAGGACCGACCUAAGACUGGGGGUGAUGUAAAGCAACAGAAAACACUUCCAUUCCAAUCCCCAGCAACAGCCUGGAAAACUCAAGAAACAAGCAACAGCAGUCUUCAAAAGUAUGGGGAAAGAUCUUUCUGAGGUACAAGCAUAAAGGAAAGACCUAAAUCUGAGAGUGAAGCAGACAUUGAGAAAACCACUCUGGCAAACCAUUUCCCACCCCAAACACAACAUAAUGCUAGAAGCUAAAGCUUGUGGUACAGUGAGGGUAACCAUAGCAAGAAAAUAACCCAAACCCAGCCCUACUGUCUAGGUUGACAAUGCCACACACUAAAGGCCUAGCAAAAGCAAGAUACAUGUCCAAGUAUAAAUAGUAUUUACCUCAGUCUAUAUUCUUCUACAUAAGAUACCCAGCUUUCAACCAAAAAUUGCAAGGCACACAAAGCCACAAAUAAAAAUAGUACACUGUUAAUAGAAAAUCAACCAACAGAAUCACAUUCAAAUAUAAGAGAGAUGUUGAAACUAUCAGACAGGGAUCUUAAGAUCCCUCAAGGGCUCCCUCAAGAAGACAUAGAUGAUCUGACUAGUCCUAUAUCUUUUCUAAAAAUUGAAUUAAAAACCUUCCAAAAAAAAAAUUUCAGGCCCAGAUGACUUCAUGGCAAAUUCUACCAAAUGUUUAAGAAAUAAAUAAUAACAAAUUUGUACAAACUCUUCCUUAUUAAAAAAGAGAUGGCAAAGAUUCCCAACUCAUUUAAUGAGGCCAGAAUUACUCUGAUACCCAAACCAGACAAAGAUGUUAUAAGAAAAUUACAGACCAGUGUCUCUCUUGAACAAAGGUAAAAAAAAACCUCAGCAAAAAUUAAGCAUACUAAGAAUAAAAGAGAACAUCUACAACCCAAAACAGAGCAUCUACCAGAAAUUUACAGCUUAUGUCAUACUUAAUGCUGAGAAACUGGGUGUUCCCCCUUCCCUAAAUUGGGAACAAGACAAGGAUGUCCCCUCAUACCAUUCCUACUCAAUAUCAUACCAGAAAGCCAAGCCAAUAAGCCAAUGCUAUAAGGUAAGAAAAAGAAAUCAGAUGCAUAUGGAUUAGAAAUAAAUAAAUAAACAGGUUAAGAACUACAUAAAAAGCCUGAGAUUUUACCCUAUUGGAAAAUUAACAAGUUAACCUGCCCCAGUUUCAUGGGUGCUGGCAGAGUGCACAAGUUUCCUGGGUCAGAGAAAAGGAUUUUAUUAUUUAUGGCAAUAGCAGUUACCAGGAUAAUCAGCAUUUUCUUGUGCCAUUAACUCUAACUCCAGUUCCCAUAGGCAGAAUUAAGAGCACGAGAUGAUAUCCACAAAUGGCUAGAGAAUCCAAAUAUUUUAUACUGGUUUUCAGUGAUUGAGGGGAGAAUUUGACUACAAAAAGGCACAGAAAACUUUCUGGUGUGAUGGCACCAUUCUGUAUUUUUAAUAUGGUAACAAUAAUAUGACUAUGACUAUAUGCAUUUGACAUAAUUCCUGGAACCUUAUAUUAAAAAGUAUAAAUUUUAAUGAUUCUGAUCAAUACUUUUUAAUGAAAGAAAUUAUGAGGAGGGAUACAGACAAAAGUUUUAUCUAAAAAUAUAUAGACCCUAGUUCCAGAAGUUGUCCUAUUAUUUUACCUUAAUGGUCAUCAUCUUCUACACUUGCUCAAGUUUUGAUUUUCCAUUCUGGGCUUCAUAAUUAUUUGAUUCUUGAAUGUGGGGGUUGUUUUUAUGUUAUACCUACAUAAUUAUUUUUAGAUAUAACAACAGAAAUUUUGUUUAGAAAUGUUAUUACUGUACUACCUUGAAUUCAUGAGCAUUUUUCAAUUACAACUUUAUAAGCACCAUUAAAGUUAUUCCCACAAGUCCAUGAAGAAGGGAGGAAAGUAUAAAUAUGAGACACAAAAGUUAAACAACUUUCCCAGACUCAUGCUAAAUUGACCAGUUCAGAUCAAUCUAACUAUAAGUCAAGGGCCUUGUGUCUUGUGUGCUGCACUUCUGUGGCUGGAUUAACUGGGUCUGGUUACUGUUCAGGGUCAAAAAUACACAACCCCAAGCUGCCAGCUAAGGGAGAAAUCAGGAGUUGGAGUAGGAUUACCCGGCCAGAGCUAGACAUACAGAGGUAAAGAUCUGAGACAAAGCAGAUACAGUCAACAGGAAGCAAGGAAGGCCAAAAGGUUUGGGAGUUUGAUCAGCCUUUCAAGCCAUAGUGGGAAAAACCAGAGGUCAAAGGGAAUGCCCAGAGAAAAUUCAAUCCUUUACACUUUACGGCCGAGAAAGGAUAGAGUCAGGGAGGCCAAAAUCUAGGUGAGAGGAGAGACCCUGAGGCUGAAUACCCAGUAUUCAAUACCAACCUGGAAUGUCUUACACCCCUUCUGAUCCAGGUUCAUAGAUUAGCUCUCAAAUGCUCAAUUCACCUACCCUGCUCCCCUGCAAGAUACAGAACUGAUCAGUAAACUCAGUCAAAUGGCUGACUUUGUGAAAUUAAAAAAGCCAAGCCAGUUGACUGAAUUGACAAUGGCAGCAAUUUGUCAGAUGUUUUGGUGUCUUUUGAACAGAACUCAUUCAUUAUCACCAUUGCAUAAUGUUCCAAAUUUUGGUUUUACAUUUAAAAGGAACAUAAAAGGAACACAGAGUACAGGAAGAACAUGUAUUUUGGAGCCAAACAGACCUGAAUAAAAAUCAUUGCUGUUUCUAGGCAUACGAAUUUAGACAAUUAAAAAUCUGAGUCUUACUGAGAAGUGACUGGUGGUUAACAUGGGGGAGGGUUUGGGGUGGUAGGUGAGAGGGAUAAAGGGGCACAAAAAUUCUCAAUGAUAAUAUAAGUUGAUCACAGGGAUAGUAGCACAGCAUGGAAAAUAUAGCCAAUGAUUCUGUAACAUCCUCCUAUGUUGACAGAUAGUAACCACACUAGUGGGAGUGAGGAGUUAAUACUACAGGUAACUGUUGAAACACUGUGUUGUUAUUUGAAACCAAUAUAAGAUUGUAUACCAAUUGUACUACAAAAAAAAAAUCUCUGAGUCUCAAUGUCCCCAUAUAUAACAUGCAGUCAACAAUAUUUAUCCCAUGGAAUUGCUGUGAAAAAUAAAUGAAAUUAUGUUUGUAAAGUACCUAACAACAUAGAAGGCAUUCAGUAAACAGUAAUAAUAAUAAUAAUGGUCAUUCUUUAAGAAUUCCUAUUUAAAUUGAAACUUGGACAUUCAUCUAGUUAAUUCAAGACAUAUUUACUGAGCACCUACUGUGUGCCAAACAUUCUUCUAGGCACACAGAAUUCAACGACAAAGAAAAAAAUGUCUCUGUCCUCCUGGAACUAGCAUUCUAUUGGGAAUGUGUAUAUUAUAUGCCACCCACACGACUAGAGAUGUUUCUCCUACUGAGCCCAGAGUAGAACUCUUCACCCCAUUGUAGCUCUGCUCGUAAUGACUAAGCCCACCGAACUAGAUCUAUUGGGAAAAUGAUCUGCAGAUUCCCCAAACAACUUCUUUAUCAACGUAAUGACUUGCUAAAUACAAAGGUCCAGUUCUGCAGGAUGGAUGUUUAUUGAGAACAGAACUUGAAUUUUGCAGAACCUCGCAUGUCAGUACACCAGUAACAUUGUUGGUGUUUCAGAGUAAUCUUAUGCUACAGGAGUCACAGACUCAAAUGCCAACUGAGGGCGAUGGUAAAUGAGUCAAGAGGCCCAGCAUCAUGGUUAAAGAGUCGGGGAAGUCACAGAAAAUAAAACAGUUUAUAAAAUGUGCAGCCACUACUAUUUCCAGUUGAUGUUGCUGGAGAAAAUGGUCAGAUCUGAUUUUUCAAGGAAGUUACAAUAAGUCUGGAAUAAUGAUGGAUUAGAGGGAAUAGGUGCUCUCACCCUAACAUCGUCUGACCUCCUCCUGCUCUAGCAUUAAGGCAUGUGAGGACUUGCUUGUAGUCACAGAUUUGUGUUCUCUCUUGACGUGGCUGCAGUGAGAAGGCACAUCUGUGAAGUGUUUGCCAGCAUGUCACGAGUAACAGGACUCUUGAAACCAUUUCAAACGUCAUGCCAAUUCUUGUGCAUAACAUCUUUUAAAAGAUUGUUGCUUUAGAGAUCUUAAUAUUUUUUUAAAAAAAGAAAGAAAUGCAAUACUUUCAGUCACUUAAAAGUAGAGCUCUUUUUCACUAAGCAAGGUUGAACUUUUUAAACUUCUUUUUACCAAACAAGCCUCUUUUUGGUGGUGAGCAAAUAAAUUAGCAUGUGGGUCCUAAGUGCUCUUAAAAUUGUUUUGCUAUAGAUCUGUCCACUGUUUAUAAUUCUUGAAUAAAGCUAAAAGUAAAGAAAGCCUUUCUCUGAAGGUUUAUGAGCAUUUUUCCAUGAAGCAGAAGUCAAACAGAAGAUCAAAGAGAUCUAACAAAAUGCUUCAAACUUGGGAUAGGGUGGGUUGAAGGCCAGUGAAAAGAAACCAACCUCUCUAGAUAGUUUGGGAGAUAGGUCUUGUUAUUACAAAAAAAACUAAAACAUGAUAGUCUGAGUGUAUCAAACUGACAUUUCUGAACAAUGUUGUUAAAAGUUUUAGUCUUUGAUAUUUUACCCAAUAGUAUCAAAGACCUUUUAAAAGAGGCUAGACAACUGUUUCACCAAGAGGCAAAUAGGAACAAAAUAAGGUAAAUUUCCUAACUCUCUACUCUUUCUUAAUGGCCAUUCUUUAAUGGGCUUCUCUGAGUCUUUCUGCAAAGGGUAGACAUUUCCAGGUUCAUGAAGAAUUAAUGUAGAGUCUUGAAUUGUUGCAAGCAGUAUAAUACCUUCUGUAUAUUUUGAAUACUAAUUAUUUGAUGCUUUGGCUUUUGAUACACUACCAAUUUAAAUACCUAUUAACCAUUACUUUAAAAUAGAAAAAUAAAAAAAGAAAUAAAAUGAAUAUAUUUACUAGAAAGACAUGAACCAAUCCAGCCACGAUUAAACCCUCAAUAAAUCUGCUUCUAAUCAUCCAUUGGUAUUUAAAUAUAUAGUAACUACUCUAUUAAAUUUAAUUCUCUCUUUAAUGACAGUUAUUCUAAAUUUAAUGACAGUUAUUUGAAAUAUAUAUCCACAAAUAAUUAACAUUUUAACAAGAUUUUUAAAUAAAAUAAUGCAAGUAUGAAUCCAUCAAAUGUCAAUAAAUCAAUUAUAAUUUAAUCUAGAAUGCCUGAAUUGUUAAGCUGAAGCAUACCCAAGCGAGAAUGCUUUGAAAACAUUCCAAUAAGAAAUAAUUUGCUGGGGGUUGGGCAGUGGGGGGAGGGGCUGGCACAGAAUCCAUCUGUGAACUGCUAGUAUUAUUUCAGCCUAAAAUUAAGGAUAUAACUUUAAAAUACAUUUAUUUUCUAUGAAAGUAUGUAUUUGGUGAAGCGCAUUAAAUCUUUUUGAUUAGGAGUUGAUUUUAACCAGAAUACCAUUUUAACAUUACAAGUCAAGUGGUUUUAAUAUUUCUGUUGCCAGUUAAAUAUGUGCUAAAAAUAUUACAUACUAUUUUAUUCCAGUGAUUCACAAUCCAGUUUUUACAAAACAGUCCUUUACAUUGAAUUUUUAAAAAUCUUUUUCAAGUUAUGGAGCCCACCAACUCACUCUCCCUCAAACAAAACCAAGUCCUUAAUCCAAAUAAUUCUGUUUCUGCCAGCUGGUGGGGUUUGCUUUCCAUCAGAAAGACUGGCUGCCAUACCUUUCUUGUGAGCAUGAGUAGCCCAUGCCAUUCUUGCAUGGCCUUGCCCUUGAGAUUUCCUCUUUCACAUCACUGGGGCACUCACUGGGAUCAGACAUGUAGACUGGCAAGUUUGAAUGACGUAAGCAUCCCAACCUAUAAAGCACAUCAGUAGACACUUUGUAGCAUGUGCCGUUUAUUAGGGUUUCCAUUAAAAGUAUUAUGUUUCCAUACUUUACAACCAUAAAAGAGUAAAUAAUUUCAAAGGAUCGCUUGAUAGGAGACUUCUGUUUUAAAUGGAACUUGGAAAUAUCUGGGAAAUCACUGGAAUAAAUGUACUUAAUAGACCAAAUUCUGUGAAGUUCUUUCUGACUGUUUUCUUAAGCACAUAAAAAGAUAUACCAUUUCCUCCAACAUUUUUUGAAAUAGGUUUUGGUUUGGGUUUUUCUCUGUAAUAUUUGACUUAUACAUAUUUCUUACAAUGCUUCCAUUGUUCUUUCUUUCUGUCUGUCUCUUUAUUUCUGUGCUCAGGCUAACUUCUUAACACCAAGAGCGUCUGCCCCCUUCAAUGCUCUAACCUAGUAGAAGUUGAAACUUAAAACCAGAAAGUAACAUUACAUGCCACUCAAGAAAACCUGCUGUGCCACUUGAUAAGUUUGAAAAUGUACACUAAAUGCCCCUAUCGAGAUAUUUCCUUUUUUAGAGGAAACAAAUUCCAUCCAUGGGACUCAGCAAAUAUUUCACCAAUCUGGGCCUUAUGGGAAGCCAAAACAGCAUUCAAGGCAUGGAAAAGAUUACAAUGAUUAGGUCAGUUUCAGAAUAAUAUCAUUUUUGAAAAAUAUUGCAAAUACUAAACAUUUGAAGAAAAGUUAAGUCAUCUAUAAAUAUUAACAUGUCAUAGUCUAGUUGGAAUUGUCUAGAUUGACUGUCUCUACAACCCUAUUCUCAUAGGAAAUUACAUGAACUUCUACUUGAUUUUGUCUGUGUAGACAAACUAGAGCACUUCCUUUUUUUUUUUCAGGAUCAUUAUUUAAAGGAGGAAGUGAGACAUUUUUGAGUACCAGCACCACUACCCAGCAUUUGAUGACCUAACUGUAUAAAUUAUUAUCCAGUUGCACAAGUCAGAGGUCUCAAAAAGGUGGAGAUAACUUUUUUAAACCAAAAGUUUUAUUCCUUCAAUAACAACUCUUGGAACUAUGAAAAACAGUGAGCAUAAAAUGAUCAGAUGCUGGGAAUACAGUGGUGAACAAGACAAAGAGCUUGUUCUCCUGGAGUGCAGAUUCUAGGAGGGACAGGAAGACAGUGAACAAUAUACGAACAAAUGAGAAAAUAUCAGAGAAUGAAAGUGCCAUAUGGGAAAAAAAGCAUCAUGAGAGGAUGGGAAGAAACAGCAGGAAACACCUUUGAUUGAACAGUCAAGGAAGGCCUCUUACGGAGGACAUGACACCAAGGAAAAGCCAGCCAUGUGAAGCAGCCUCCUAACUGGUCUCCCAGCGCCUCAGCAACCAAGGUGAGCCUAUCAAGAAGAUCUGAUCACAUCUUACCUCAUCUGACUCACAACUGUCUGCAACUGUGGAUUGUUAUGAACUGAACUGUGCCCCACCACCACCAAAUUCAUCUACUGAAGCCUUAACCCCCAAUGUGACUGUAUUAUUAAGGAGAUAAGAAAGGUUAAAUUAUGUCAUUGGGCCCUAAUCCAAUAGAACUGGUGUCCUUAUAAGAAGAGGAAGAAACUAGAUCUCUCUCUCCCGAGCAUGCAUAGAGGAAAAGCCAUAUGAAGUCACAGCAAGAGGGCUGUCAUCUGUAAGCCAGGAAGAGGGGUCUCACCAGCAGCCCACCCUGAUGGCAACUUGAUCUUGGACUUCCAGCCUCCAAAACUGGGAGAAAUCAGUUUCUGUUGUUGAAGCCCCCCAGCCCAGGCAGACUACACGGGCCUUCAUCCUCAGCCCGCCUCACUCUCCCCUGCCUCCUCUCCUGCCUCUUCAAGUUCAUUCCAGCCCUGCAGGUGUCCUCUUUGUUCCUUGUGCUUGAAAGCCUCCUCCCCAGAUAGACACAUGGCUCUCUCCCUCAUCUCCUUCAGCGCACCUUGCUCAGAUGUCCCUUCAGUGAGACCUUCUUUGCCCAUGAAAAUUUUAAAUUAUAAAAGGUUCCCUCCCCUAUAGCUCCUGCAUCUCCCUGCAUUAUUCACAGCAUUUAUCACCUGCCAGUAUAAUAAAUAAUUGACGUAUUUAUUUUGGUGUAAUGUCUGCCUUUUCCCACUCUUAUGUAAGCUCCACGAGGACAGGGAUGGUUGGCUGCUUCCUAUUCUGCCGAACGGGGAGUGUGUGGGUGUGUGGGUACAAAAAAGAGGAGAUAGAAAGAGAGAGAGAGAUUAUCAGUUCACGACUGUGCCCACUGGCGUAAGUCCUACUGAGGUUUUUGAACAAGUUCCCUAGAUGCUGUCUUGUAAAUGUUCAUAAAAUAACAAAAAGUAAUUUAAUAAUUUAAAGUGUUUAAUUUAUUUAUCCAUUCAUCCAAUGAUGGACAUGUAGGUUGUUUGCAUGUCUUGGUUUUUGUAAAUAAUGCUGCAGUGAACAUGGGGGUGCAUAUCUUUUUGUGCUAGUGAUACUGUUUCCUUCAGAUAAACACCCAGAAGUGGAAUCGCUGAUCUUAUAGUAGCUCUAUUUUGAAUUUUUUGAGGAACAUCCAUAUUGUUUUCCUUAGUACCUGCAUCAAUUUACAUUCCCAUCAAAAUGUACAAUGGUUCCCUUUUCUCUGUAUCUUCACCAUCAUUUGUUACCUCUUAUCUUUUUGAUAAGAGCAGUUCUAACAGGUGUGAGGUGGUAUCUCAGGCGAUUUAUCUUAGAGUGGAAAGAUUAAUAUUGGAAUUGGCUUCAUUGCGUAUGUUGUACUUGCAGUCAGUUUUCAGAUAAUUCCCUAUCUGUUGGUUUAGAAGUGUUUAUUUUCUCCAAACCCAUCCCCCAACCCCCAUCCACUGCCAGCCUGAAUAUGCUUAUGAGAAUAAUGUAACAGGUUAACCCAAAUCGAGGUGAGUAAAAAGUAUACGGGGUUGGCAGUAAAAACUAUUAGCCAGAAAUACCAUUCUCUGAUAUUUCUCUGUGGAGUCGCAUGAAACUGGGGCUGUAACCCAUUUGAGCUGGAUAAUUGAAUUGUAUGGUUAUAUACAUCUUUUCAGAGAGUAGAGUGGUUUCUCAGUAAUUCUAACAGGAUAAUAUUACUAAAUCCACAAUAUGAUGAGUAUAACUAUUUUAAAUUUUUUACUUUAAGGGACAGGUUUAGAUUUUAAUGUGUUUGCUGCUUUGUUCAUUGUUUAAGCAAGAUCAAUAAAUUGGUUUUACUGAUUCUGUAUUUGUUUGAAUUUUUAUUUGCCCAGGAAAUCAAUUCAGUGGUGUGUUAGUUUUAAAACACUAGGAAAAAAAUGAAAAUAUGCAAACAUUCAUCAUUUAGCUGUUGGUUUUAAGUAACAGAAAAAGCGAACCUCUGCAUCUAGAAUACAGAGAAAUGAAGAAAAGAAGUAACAGAAAGGUGAGUGUGGCUGAGACCCCUUGAGGGCAUUUGAGCACCUUUGUGUUUCAUGUUAGCAAAGUGACAGAAGUUAAAAAGUUGGCCUGUCUUUGAAGCCCAGAAAACCAUAGAAGAGUCACCUUUUAUAUCUGUGUCAGAGUUCAUUUAGAUUUUUUUUACAUCUUUCUGAUAAUAGUUUAGAAAGAUAUCAAGUUAAAAUGAUAAAUAACCAAAUUAAGCCAACAGAUUAUUAAACAUUACAUCCAAGUUCCAAAAAUUGAAAUACAGAGUUAAAGAAAGAAAAGAGAUACACUAUACAACAGGAUUAUAUGAAUCUCCAGGCCCCCAUUUCUGCAAAUUGCUCUCCAAAUAUUCAUAAAUCUAAGGACUUCCCAGAAGGACAUCCAAACAAAGUGUGGCUAAACACAGAAAGCUGAAAUACAUAAAAAACAGGCUUUGGGUAUAUACUUUCUGGAAUUUAUUAGGAAACAGAAAGGCCACCAAAAUGAAAAUUGCACACAGGAAAAAAAAAUCCCACCAUGCUUUUAUCCAAAUAGGUUGGAAGUGAUGUAAUAAAGGCACCAUAAUUUAUGUACAUAAAUGUGUGGGCACCUCAUUCAGGGAGUGACAAAUGCAGUAUUCCAGGGGGAAAAAAAUAGUGGACAUCAAAGAAAUUUGAUCAACUGCCAGCAGCCAUUAAUCUCUUUAUUACUUCUUUUAAUAUAUAGAUGUCAUUGUAUUCUAUCCUUGAAGCAAUGUAUUCUUUUUUUUAUGAAGUUAUGAGAGAAAAUAGUGUUAUACUUCAUUUGACAUAUAUCCACAGAAUAUAUGGCAACCUUGAGAAGAUUUUAUUCUUAAAAAUGAGGACAUUGAUACAUCACAGCCAUACACCUUAAGGAGAGUAGUUUAAGUCUGAUCAUAGCGCCUAACUUAAUGUAACUGUGAUCAUUCAUCUUGUCAUGGUCAGCAAACACAAUAUAGAAGCUACUGAACAUGAAACGUUACCAAGAGCCAGCUCACUAAUCAGGAGACACUUCAGAUAAAGUUAGCAUAGAAUUGUUUCAGAUGCAGAGGCACGAGAAAAAACCUUAGAAUUAAGAUCAAAUACAUUAAAUAUCAUACUAAAAGAAAAUAUUUACUUAGUUGUCCAGAAAACCUAGGAAUUACUGGUUGCAGUUACUACUGAAUUAUAGCUUUCUGUGUGCUAACAUUGUUUAGUGAAUAAACCUUUCCGAUGAUGUGGCUUUACCAGUAGACACUUAACAUCCUUCAAAUUCAUAGCUUGAUAGGUUUCCAUGGAGAAAUUCCCAUAAAGAUAUUUCCUUCUUUGGAUUUCUAUAAUACUGUAUUUCACACAAAUGACCAAUAAAAUAAUAUUUUACUUAUUGCUUCUUCUGAAAGAACAGCCAUUAUUUCCCACCUUGAAACAUUACUUCAACAAAGUCUAGAUUUAAAUAUUUCUGUUUAUCUGGACAUGAAUGGAAAAGGCCUCACAAAUAAUCAUUUAAAAUUCACUCAAGUAAUGGUAUAGUUAUAUUAUUGUCCCCACUACAGAUAACUCAAGAAAUAGUUUAGAAUGAGGAUUGUAUGGUAUAUGUGAGAGACAGACAGAGGAAUAAACCAUUAGAUCAAGAUUUUGACCACUGGAGUAAGUUCUGUUGAGUUCUUUGACCAUGUUCCCUAGAUGUCAACUUACAAAUACUAAUCAAAUAAAAUAGCAAAAAUUACUUACUACUGCCCCACACCUGGCUGAGGACUUGUCACAAAGUAGAAGUUCAAGAAAUACUUUAUGAACUGAUCUGUCAUUGUUAGCAAAACCAUCAUCUCCUUAAUUUAGUGAGCACUCUCCUCUCAACUACAAUUGUCUGAUUAUGGAAAUGUUUUUCGUCAUCUGGAGAUUUCACAGGUCAUGCAAAACAGUGCUGACACAGGCCUGCUUAUAGCAAUGAGCCCUGCUGGCCUUGAGAAAUGAAUUUCCCCAUCUUCUUCAAAAUAAUUCCAAACUAUACCUUGUAAGAAAAUUAUGAAGACAAGUAAUGGGCCUAUUUUACCCUUGUUUUUCCAUUUGAAGAACAGACCAAAGUCAGUACAAAACCUGAUCUCAAGGCUCUUAAAACAGGCUAAUAUUGGGUGUGCAGAAAGAAGACAAGACAACAGAAUCCAGGGUCAUCCUUCGAGGUUCAACUAUGUGAAUGGUUUAACCAUUCACAGUGGUCAUAUUAUUUUAUUGAUAAUUUGUAUGAAGUACAGUAUUAUAGAAAUCCAAAGAAGGAAAUAUCUUUAUGGGAAUUUCUCCAUGGAAACCUAUCAAGCUAUGAAUUUGAAGGGUGUUAAGUGUCUACGGAUAAAGCCACAUCAUCAGAAAGGUUAAAGGAAAAUGGAGCCAACAAAACCAGCACCAUUUACACAGACCCAAAUCCUUGCUCUCUCUUGGUGAUUGGCUACUUCUGACAGUUCCUAAAGCCAGAGUGGCCAACGCCAUCACGGUGGAAGCAUGGAUGGUAACUGGCACUAAGAGAGCAAUGAGCGAGGGCUUUGUACUGACAAGCACAAGGGCGGGAGCAGAAAUGAAACAGAAACACAGAAUGGGCAAGAGUAUGACAAACCACGUCUUGGGGUCAAAAUGGAUUCAACCCAGAAACAGAGAAUGAUGGUCUUCCCCAGGAAGCAUUCUCUCUCAGAGCUCAGAACCCCUCAGAUUUUUGCUCAUCAUUUGCCACUACUGGAUAGUUCCUGCCAUCCAAGAAAACUAGAAGAGUUCCAUAUGGGAGGAAAAUAACCUAGGACAAAUUUUAAGAGGUUUCAGCAGCCUGAGGUAUCCACACUGUGGUCAAAAGUCACAUGCCUGAGCCUUCACACACCUGAACCCACAGGAGACCGCCCCAGCUGAGCUCUGACAUUCCCUCCUGCCGCUCCCUCAGCCUUAAGAGAAUCACUCUUACCAGCCACAACAAAGCCAGGGCAUGUCAGCUUGCUGCCUGCCACUCAGUGGAUUUUAGUCUCAUUUUUAAAUUACAUAUUUAUGUGAACUCUUUUCAUGCUCACCACCCAAAACUGACUUAGUAAUCUCUUAAGAUCCCAGGCUUAUAGACCAUUAAGUUCACAUGGUUUGAAUACUGGGUAAUUCUUGAAAUCUCAUUACUAGAGUGCGACAUUUAUCUAAAAUUAAAUCUACAAAGGAAAAAAAAGAGAUGUGAUGUAAUAAACUACUACUGAAACAGAAUCAUAAAGCUGGAUGUCAAACAAUAGGGUAUUGUAAAUGAUACUCUCCCAACAAGCUUCUCUCUGAUAGCCACGGCUCAAGAAAACAUAUGAUCACAAUAAAUAUGAUUUCUACAAUGCCACAGUCCUUUCAUUACUUGUUCCAUGUGGGGAUGAUAAGCAAUAGUUCUGCUUUGCAUUUUUGGUUAAAAAAGAAAUUCUUCCUCACAAAUAAUAAAUUUAGAGCAAGAGAAUGUCUUAUGACUCAAGCUUCCAUUUCUGUAACUUACCGCUUUUAUGGACAUAAAUUCUAUCAGACUGUGCAGAAAGUUCGUUAGGUCAGCUGGGGAUCAGUGGGAAUUGGUAAAUGUCUCUUAGUUUAGGAGGAAACAUACAAUUUACUUUAGAAUCUUUUCAGCUCUCCACCAUAUUCCUGGCCGUUUCUACCCAGUAUGUGAAUUAGUACUACUUUAGCCUACACUGGAUAAGGCAAUGGUCCACUUAAUUCAUUAUAUUUGGGUAAAGAAAGAUCAACUGAAAAAAAUAACAUGGCAUACAUGAAUGUGUAUAUCAUGUCAGUUAGCUGUAUAUGUAUUUCAGAAUACCGUACCCUUAUUUACAUUUCUGAAACUGUUUCCUUCUUAUAACUAUUUCAGUGUUAAAAUAGACUCAUUCUUCCAGUGUUUGAGUACAAACAGGGCCUACAGGAUGCCAGAGAUACUCCAUAUAUUUAGUUUAUUUGAGUUAAGCAAACACUUCAGUGAUUUUUAUAAAUCAACAGUGCCCAGGCAAUUAAAUAUUUCCUUUCAAAAGAAAAGAAUACAUAAUUAUAUAAUGAAACCAAAUUACUUGAAAAAUACCAGAAGUGAUCUCACUGUCUAUAUUUCAAUAGUACAUGGAUGGCUCUGAACUUAAACAAUCUAAACUGUGAACAUUUUCCUUUUGUUCCUUACAGAGACCAUCUAAACUGGUGUGACUCAGAGGUAUUCACUGGACGGUGCUGGCCCCUCAGCUGCUGGUCGCCACACUGCAAAGAGUCAGGCACUGAAACUGAGAGUAAGCGCUUAGAAUUUUUUUAGCAAUUUAACAGAUAAAUUUUUUGCCUGUUAAAUCUAACAUUAAACAUUAAAGGCUUGCAUUUUGCAUGCGUUAGGGUGUUUUUUAAUUUUUUUUUAUAAUUCAUUUUUAUUAUAUUUUACAAAAAUAUAAGUCAUUACUGACUGGAAACUUUAAAACUGGACCUUCACCAUGGGUAGGUUGGGAAGCACUUGUCUAGACUACGGCGUUCUGGAUGGUCAGGCAACUAUCUUGUGAAUUAAAUCUUCAGCAUUGUAUAUAUAUGUAUAUUUAAAAAAAAAAACAUAGGCCUUAUCUAUACAACAGAACAAUCAGCUCAGCAAAAACAAAGCUCAGAGCUCUGUGAACUCAUUUCCUCAGUCUCUCCAGAUGUACCACAGCUGAGGAGAUUGUUCAGAAAUAGGAAUGGGGCUUGACCGGAUUUGUUAUGCUUUGAUCUUUUUUCUUCCUCCCUCCCUCCCUCCCUCCUUCCAUCCCUUCCUCCUUCUCCUUUCUUUUCUUUGUAGAGGUAGUAUCAUUUUCUUUCUCUGUAAAGAGUGAAACCAAGAGCCCCUGUUCACACAUAUCAAUAAAAUACAUCAGUAAGAUUCACUGAGUUCAGGAAAGGAGAAAAUGAGUCCAGGGUUACAUGGAGAAACAAAACUACGGAUGGGAAAUGUGGGUACAUAAGGAUCUAGAGAAAAGCAUCCACAAAAAACAGAAGACGCAUUCCUUCAUGAAAACCCAAGGGACUUUUGUUUUUUGAAGUAAGCCACCUUUUAUUAAUAUAUUUUAAUUGUCUAGAAAAGCGAUUUUUCUAUCUGAAAUUUUGACGAACUCUUCUUGGUUGUUCACCCAUGAAAAUCCAGAGAAAUUUCUUCUAAGUCAUUAAUGAGCAUUCCUUUAGACUCUUGGGAAGAGACUGGCAAAGAUGUGUCCCCACUGCUUUCCCCUUCCCCCCAGUAGAACUGCUGCGGACAACAGGGCUUUCAUCAGGCCCAAGUUAUUUCUCCCGGUCUCUGAAGCAGGAUGGUUAACAAAUAGGACGACAAAACAACCAUAUUUCCUUCCAUUCUGCUGCCCCUUUAUAUGCACUCAAGACAAUGCAGUUAUUCUGCCUCACCUGCGUCUAAUGUUAGACACAUGCCCAAGAAUCCAUGUUAACUGUUGUGUUUCAUUUCACAACCAAAGAAAUGUACUGCCCAGGCUCACGAGGAAACACAGAGAAAUGAAUCUAUAUCCCCUAAGAUUUGCAAUUCAUUUUUCUUUUUUGUUCUGAAAAUGGAAUUCCCUGGGUUGGA